rnacentral:rRNA from 1 species
GACGAACGCUGGCGGCGUGCUUAACACAUGCAAGUCGAGCGGUAAGGCCCUUUCGGGGGUACGACGAGCGGCGAACGGGUGAGUAACACGUGGGUGACCUGCCCUCAGCUCUGGGAUAAGCCUGGGAAACCGGGUCUAAUACUGGAUAUGACUCCAUGACGCAUGUUGUGGGGUGGAAAGCCUUGUGCGGCUGAGGAUGGGCCCGCGCCUAUCAGCUUGUUGGUGGGGUGANGGCCUACCAAGGCGACGACGGGUAGCCGGCCUGAGAGGCGACCGGCCACACUGGGACUGAGACACGGCCCAGACUCCUACGGGAGGCAGCAGUGGGGAAUCUUGCGCAAUGGG